UACGUAGGGGGCAAGCGUUGUCCGGAAUCAUUGGGCGUAAAGAGCGUGUAGGCGGCCCGAUAAGUCCGCCGUGAAAGCCCGGGGCUCACCCCCCGGAAGUGCAUUGGAAACUGGCGAACUCGAGUCCCGGAGAGGAGAGUGGAAUUCCUGGUGUAGCGGUGAAAUGCGUAGAUAUCAGGAGGAACACCGGUGGCGAAGGCGGCCCUCUGGACGGAUACUGACGCUGAGGCGCGAAAGCGUGGGGAUCAAACAGG
rnacentral:rRNA from 1 species